rfam:Setaria italica strain Yugu1 chromosome II, whole genome shotgun sequence.
CCUGCAGGAAAGUGUGUAUCGGCUUUACGCUACUUUGAUGCGUCUUUUGCCGAAAGUGUUUCCUGCUAUAGCAAUCUGAGGAAAGUGGGCAGUUGGGUUAAGCAUAUCUGCUUUCUCCAACAAUCAUUUUCCUCUCAUGU